CGUAGGUGGCAAGCGUUGUCCGGAUUUAUGGGUUUAAAGGGUGCGUAGGCGGUCCUAUAAGUCAGUGGUGAAAUACGGCAGCUCAACUGUCGAGGUGCCAUUGAUACUGCAGGACUAGAGUACUGAUGAGGUAGGCGGAAUGGACGGUGUAGCGGUGAAAUGCUUAGAUAUCGUCCAGAACACCGAUAGCGAAGGCAGCUUACUAAAGAGUAACUGACGCUGAGGCACGAAAGUGUGGGGAUUAAACAGGAUUAGAUACCCUGGUAGUCCACACUGUAAACGUUGAUCACUAGAUGUUGGCGAUACACUGCCAGCGUUCCAGCAAAAGCGAUAAGUGAUCCACCUGGGGAGUACGCCCGCAAGGGUG
rnacentral:rRNA from 1 species